AGUGAGCGGCAAGAGCUCAGAUUUGAAAUCGUGCUUUGCGGCACGAGUUGUAGAUUGCAGGUUGGAGUCUGUGUGGAAGGCGGUGUCCAAGUCCCUUGGAACAGGGCGCCCAGGAGGGUGAGAGCCCCGUGGGAUGCCGGCGGAAGCAGUGAGGCCCUUCUGACGAGUCGAGUUGUUUGGGAAUGCAGCUCCAAGCGGGUGGUAAAUUCCAUCUAAGGCUAAAUACUGGCGAGAGACCGAUAGCGAACAAGUACUGUGAAGGAAAGAUGAAAAGCACUUUGAAAAGAGAGUGAAACAGCACGUGAAAUUGUUGAAAGGGAAGGGUAUUGCGCCCGACAUGGGGAUUGCGCACCGCUGCCUCUCGUGGGCGGCGCUCUGGGCUUUCCCUGGGCCAGCAUCGGUUCUUGCUGCAGGAGAAGGGGUUCUGGAACGUGGCUCUUCGGAGUGUUAUAGCCAGGGGCAAAUGCUGCGUGCGGGGACCGAGGACUGCGGCCCUGUAGGUCACGGAUGCGGGCAGAACGGCGGAGCACCGCCCC
rnacentral:rRNA from 1 species